rnacentral:rRNA from 1 species
CAGAUCACUGGCCGACAACUGACGCUGAGGCGCGAAAGCGUGGGUAGCAAACAGAAUUAGAUACUCUGGUAGUCCACGCCCUAAACGAUGGAUACUAGACGUCAGGGGUAUCGACCCCCCUGGUGUCGCAGCUAACGCAUUAAGUAUCCCGCCUGGGGACUACGGCCGCAAGGUUGAAACUCAAAUGAAUUGACGGGACCCCGCACAAGCGGUGGAGCAUGUGGAUUAAUUCGAUACUAACCGAAGAACCUUACCCAGUCUUGACAUCGAUGGAAAGGUGCAGAAAUGUGCCCCUCUUCCCACAAGGAAGACCUGAAGACAGAUGUUGCAUGGCUGUCGUCAGCUCGUGCCGUGAGGUGUUUGGUUAAGUCCAGCAACGAGCGCAACCCUCAUUUUGUGUUACCAGCGAGUAAUGUCGGGGACUCACAAGAAACUGCCCGUGUAAGCGGGAGGAAGGUGAGGAUGACGUCAAGUCAGCAUGGCUCUUACGACUGGGGCUUCACACAUGCUACAAUGGGCGCAACAAAGGGCAGCAAUACCGCGAGGUGGAGCGAAUCCCAAAAAUACGCCCCCAGUUCAGAUUGCAGUCUGCAACUCGACUGCAUGAAGGCGGAAUCGCUAGUAACCGCAGGUCAGCUAUACUGCGGUGAAUACGUUCCCGGGGUUUGUACACACUGCCCGUCAAGUCACCUGAAUUGUCUGCACCCGAAGUCCGUGGCCUAACCGCAAGGAAGGAGCGGCCGAAGGUGUGGGGAGUAAGGGGGACUAAGUCGUAACAAGGUAACCAAGGG